GCACUCAACCACGUCGAGAACGCAGGUCGCGCGACGCGGCGGCUGGAGCUCCCACGACCCGCGAGCGAGAGGCCCCCGGCGCGGGGCGACAUCGCUGCAACGG
rnacentral:rRNA from 1 species